rnacentral:rRNA from 1 species
GAUGAACGCUGGCGGCGUGCCUAAUACAUGCAAGUCGAGCGAACGGACGAGAAGCUUGCUCUCUGAUGUUAGCGGCGGACGGGUGAGUAACACGUGGAUAACCUACCUAUAAGACUGGGAUAACUUCGGGAAACCGGAGCUAAUACCGGAUAAUAUUUUGAACCGCAUGGUUCAAAAGUGAAAGACGGUCUUGCUGUCACUUAUAGAUGGAUCCGCGCUGCAUUAGCUAGUUGGUAAGGUAACGGCUUACCAAGGCAACGAUGCAUAGCCGACCUGAGAGGGCGAUCGGCCACACUGGAACUGAGACACGGUCCAGACUCCUACGGGAGGCAGCAGUAGGGAAUCUUCCGCAAUGGGCGAAAGCCUGACGGAGCAACGCCGCGUGAGUGAUGAAGGUCUUCGGAUCGUAAAACUCUGUUAUUAGGGAAGAACAUAUGUGUAAGUAACUGUGCACAUCUUGACGGUACCUAAUCAGAAAGCCACGGCUAACUACGUG